AGAGUUUGAUCCUGGCUCAGAUUGAACGCUGGCGGCAUGCCUUACACAUGCAAGUCGAACGGCAGCGGGGACUUCGGUCCGCCGGCGAGUGGCGAACGGGUGAGUAAAGCAUCGGAACGUGCCCUGAAGUGGGGGAUAACGUAGCGAAAGUUACGCUAAUACCGCAUAUUCUGUGAGCAGGAAAGCAGGGGAUCUUCGGACCUUGUGCUUUAGGAGCGGCCGAUGUCGGAUUAGCUAGUUGGUGAGGUAAAGGCUCACCAAGGCGACGAUCCGUAGCGGGUCUGAGAGGAUGAUCCGCCACACUGGGACUGAGACACGGCCCAGACUCCUACGGGAGGCAGCAGUGGGGAAUUUUGGACAAUGGGCGCAAGCCUGAUCCAGCCAUGCCGCGUGAGUGAAGAAGGCCUUCGGGUUGUAAAGCUCUUUCGGCGGGGAAGAAAUUGCUUCGGCUAAUAACCGGAGUAGAUGACGGUACCCGCAUAAGAAGCACCGGCUAACUACGUGCCAGCAGCCGCGGUAAUACGUAGGGUGCGAGCGUUAAUCGGAAUUACUGGGCGUAAAGCGUGCGCAGGCGGUUGUGUAAGUCAGAUGUGAAAUCCCCGGGCUCAACCUGGGAACUGCAUUUGAGACUGCACGGCUAGAGUGUAGCAGAGGGGGGUAGAAUUCCACGUGUAGCAGUGAAAUGCGUAGAGAUGUGGAGGAACACCGAUGGCGAAGGCAGCCCCCUGGGUUGACACUGACGCUCAUGCACGAAAGCGUGGGUAGCAAACAGGAUUAGAUACCCUGGUAGUCG
rnacentral:rRNA from 1 species